CGGCAGUGGUUAUGCACUGUCACCCAUACCUUUGAGUAUGAGGAGGGCACCUGGGGAACUGAAACAUCUAAUUACCCAGAGGAAGAGUAAUCAAACGAGAUUUUCUUAGUAGCGGCGAGCGAACGGGAAAGAGGCCAAACCGGAGCGGGCAACCGCACCGGGGUUGAGGACAGUCAUCAAGUGUAAAUGAGGUAGAAGAAUCGAGUUGGAAAGCUCAGCCGAAGAAGGUGAAAGCCCUGUAAUCGAAACCUUGCAUACAUGGGACUGUAUCCAGAGUACCACGAGACACGUGAAACCUUGUGGGAAGCAGGGGGGACCACCCUCCAAGCCAAAAUACUGAUAUCGACCGAUAGCGCAUAGUACCGUGAGGGAAAGGUGAAAAGAACCCCUGGCGGGGAGUGAAAGAGAACCUGAAAUUGUGUGCUUACAAGCGGUCAGAGCCAGUAAUGGUGAUGGCGUGCCUUUUGGAGAAUGAUCCUGCGAGUUACGUUAAACGGCGAGGUUAAGUAUAACGGAGCCGAAGGGAAAC
rnacentral:rRNA from 1 species